UUAAAAAAUGAUGAUACUCCUCGGUUGCAGAGACCUGAACCUCGCGCCCCGUGUUCACAAAGAACACGGGUUGAUGCGAUGGAUCGUGACUUCUGCCGUCCGGCAACCACAAUCCUUGUUAUUAUAGGGACGGUUGUAUACACGGUCUGACCCUUUAAUGCUGGAAGCUUUGUUCUUAUCCUUGUACUCUUACUUCUGUGCUCCGCUGUACUUGUACUGUAUCAUGCAAAAUCUGCUUUUGUGCUCAUGCAAUGUGGAAAAUGUCCUCAAGCUUGCGUUUCACCAAGUGCUACUAGUAUCAUUCGCGAACCAAACAAAUCUGUUUUAAUCAUAUGCAUCUUUCAUUGCU